UUACACAGCCAUAUCACCCUGCAACUCACAACUGGCAACCCACUGAAGCUAAGCAGGUGUGAGCCUGGUAAGUACCUGGAUGGGAGACCUCCUGGGAAAAACUAAGGUUGCUGCUGGAA
rnacentral:rRNA from 1 species